rnacentral:rRNA from 1 species
GAUGAACGCUGGCGGCGUGCCUAAUACAUGCAAGUCGAACGGCCAAUUCUUUGGGAUUGGUAGUGGCGAACGGGUGAGUAACGCGUGGGUGACCUGCCCCCCAGUGGGGGAUACCAGGCCGAAAGGCCUGCUAAUACCGCAUGGGUCCGACCGGGUUAGAGGCGGUUGGGCAAAGGUGCAAAUCGCUGGGGGAGGGGCCUGCGUCCCAUCAGCUAGUUGGUUGGGUAACGGCCAACCAAGGCGAUGACGGGUAGGGGACCUGAGAGGGUGGCCCCCCACAAUGGAACUGAAACACGGUCCAUACACCUACGGGUGGCAGCAGUAGGGGAUCUUGCUUAAUGGGCGCAAGCCUGAAGCAGCAACGCCGCGUGUGCGAUGACGGCCUUCGGGUUGUAAAGCACUUUUGGUCGGGAAGAGGAAGGACGGUACCGGCCGAAUAAGCCUCGGCUAACUACGUG